UAUUUAUUUUCCACAGGUGGGAUUUGUGGUCAAAUAUGGGUGUUUCCAUUCAACCUACCACGUUCCACAGAUUUUAUCAGGUUUUUCCCGGGCAUAUUUUCUCUUGUUCUCUUUCAUUCUCUACUAAACACAUGUGGAAGCAAGACUCAAGACUGGGAAUACACACUAGUGGCGGGAGAUGCCACCCCAGUUUCCUGGACCAGAAAAUGAAGUACGGUGUUAUCAGUUAGGAAAACUGCACAUGACAGUACUCAGUCAAAGCAGCAUUUUGUUUCAUGGAACGAGAAGUCUGGAGGCAGGAAGCUGCUGGCCCUGGUUCAGCCCCACAAUGUCUGGAGGACCCUUUCUGUCUUUGUCUUUUGGUCACGCCCUUCUUAGCAUGGGGGUCUUCUGUCAUCAUGCUUGUCACUUUGGGACGGUAAGAGGGCCGACACAGUGCUGGCACCGCAUCUCUACUAUAGGUAGGAGGGUGGGAAGGGGCAGAGCCGGGGGGCCACUGCUCCCAGACCUGGUCCUCUUACAUAGAAGUAAAAGCUUCCCCAGACCGGCCCCUCGUGCCCUCCAAGAGUUCCACCUAUGUCUCAUUGGGCAGAACUUGUCACGUGGACAUCAUGCCCAGGUACAGAGGGACUGGGCCAGAGGUGUUGGGCUUUCUCGGCUUCUGUAGAGGAGGCCGCAAAGCAGAAGAGAAAGAAGAAUAAGCCCCCCAACCAGUAACAAGAGUAGCUACCAGUCCUCCUUUAGGGAAGCAAGGAGUGAUCAGAGUCUAUUUAAUUGCUUCCUUUUGUGGCACUUCUGUGUGAGUCACACUCUCCUCAGCUUCAGGAUGCAGACACCUGCUCUGGUUCUUCCACUAUUGCGAGGGCUACGUAGGGAAAUAAAGGAGACAGGAGGUUAACUCA
rnacentral:lncRNA from 12 species